rnacentral:rRNA from 1 species
UACAGAGGGGGCUAGCGUUGUUCGGAAUUACUGGGCGUAAAGGGCGCGUAGGCGGCCCGCUAAGUCGAACGUGAAAUCCCUGGGCUCAACCCAGGAACUGCGUCCGAUACUGGCAGGCUUGAAUCCGGGAGAGGGAUGCGGAAUUCCAGGUGUAGCGGUGAAAUGCGUAGAUAUCUGGAGGAACACCGGUGGCGAAGGCGGCAUCCUGGACCGGUAUUGACGCUGAGGCGCGAAAGCCAGGGGAGCAAACGGG